UGUAUCUAUAUAAGAUAUUGGUAGUAAAUUUUUAUAAACCUCUGUAUAAUGGUGGCAUUUCAUUUUAUUAGAGGAAUAUGUUCAAUAAUCGUAGCCACACGAUCAUUUUUACUUUUAUCUACAUUUUAUAUACCGCCGUUUUGAAUAAAUUCAAAAAUUUUGUUCUAAAUAAAAUUCUAAAAAUUUAGGUAAAGGUGUAAACUACAUAAAAGAUAGAAUGUAUUACAUUGAAUAAAAUUUAAGGAUUAAAUUAAAUAUAAUCUUAAGAAAAAGGAUUUAAAAGUAUUAUUUAAUUAAUAUUAAAAUUUGAAUAAAAAAAUAAAUGUGCACAUAUCGCCCGUCACCCUUAUCUUAAAAUAAGGU
rnacentral:rRNA from 1 species